rnacentral:piRNA from 1 species
UAUGUUGCUAGACAUGACUGGUUUUUGCUGC